AUGUACGCUGUAGACCGAGUGGGGAGACGGAUGUUGCUGCUGGAUCAAUGUCGCGUGCAAAUGUUCCUCUCGUUAGUGGCCAUGGCCGUGGUGAUGAGAGCAAGGGUUACCGACCGCUCAGACCAUCAUGGUCGUCAUCAUCAUCUGCAAUUUUGUAUCCUCCUUUGCUUGGUCAUGGGGCCCACUCGGGUGGCUCGUCCCGAGCGAGACCUUCCUGCUCGAGACGCGCUCCGCGGGGCAGAGCAUCAGUGUCUGCACGAACCUACUCUUCACAUUCGUCUUUGCGCAGGUCUUCCUCUCGAUGCUCUGCCACCUCAAGUCCUUCAUAUUUGUGUUUUUCUCCAUCUGUGUUGCCAUCAUGUCGCUCUUCGUCCUCUUCUUCCUACCCGAAACAAAGAACAUUCCCAUCGAGGAGAUGGCUGA
rnacentral:rRNA from 1 species